rnacentral:rRNA from 1 species
UACGUAGGUAGCAAGCGUUGUUCGGAAUUACUGGGCGUAAAGGGUGCGUAGGCGGCGCGGUAAGUCGGGUGUGAAAUCUCGGAGCUUAACUCCGAAACUGUAUUCGAUACUGCCGUGCUUGAGGACUGGAGAGGAGACUGGAAUUUACGGUGUAGCGGUGAAAUGCGUAGAUAUCGUAAGGAAGACCAGUGGCGAAGGCGGGUCUCUGGACAGUUCCUGACGCUGAGGCACGAAGGUCAGGGGAGCAAACGGG